UGGCUUUCUCCCAGUCUCCCUAUAAUGCUUCUAUUGUGAAUGCUAUUUCACAUUCAAUAGUUGAUGCUAAAAUGGCUUUUCAUCCCAUCUCAGUGCUGGAACCCUCAGCUGCACAGAAUGCUUUUGUCCUUGUGUAACAUGGCCCUCUGCAAUACUCAUCUGUGUGGAUGGAGCCUCACUGACCUGGUUCUGGAGGGUGCCUGUUCCCAGGAGGGAUACAGAUGCACACACUUGCAAAAAUGCCUUGUCCUGAAGUAUAGCCAGACACUCUGGAUUACCACCUACAGUGUAAGGUCAGUUUCUUCAUAAAUGUGAUCCUCUCCUAUUACUGGCAUGAAAUCUUACUGCUUUCUUCCAGAGCGUCUUGAGAGUAUGUCACCCUCAGUACAGCCAAGCAUAAGUUAGUAUCAGUUCCAGUCAGAAAACUUCAAGACUGGAUGCAGAAGUGUCAACCAGCCAGUAUCUUUGUUGCAAUUAGCUAAAACACAGUUCUUACUAUGUUAUCUGCCUGAGUGUUAGCAGGAUUUAGGCUUUUUUCUGUACAAAGACUCUGGAAGUUGAGAAUUACUUUAUACCAUUUCAUAAAUUAUUCCCUUCCAACUAAAUGUGUAUUCCUCAGGAUGAAUAUGACACUAAAUGUCAUGUAAAUGAAUUAAGCAAUUUUCUCCAGAGACCUGAAAUAACUUCCUUCUGUUACUAAGGAAUUUCAAGCAACAUCCUCUAGUGGACGUUUGCAAAUUAAAAAGAUCACUUCUGCUGUUCUGGUGUCUCACACCUUCUUCCUCUCAGCGUAUAUCCACCAUCUACCUUUCCUCUUCAUAAUGUGCAAAUGUUUGUCACAGCUUAAACUUUAAAAAAAAAAAAUAAUAAAAAAAAUCACGACUGUUGGUAGAAUUGAAGA
rnacentral:lncRNA from 1 species